rnacentral:tRNA from 2 species
GCCGGGGUGGCCUAGCUGGUUAGGGCGCCAGACUCAUAGGGUAAGCCACAGGCGCCUGGGUCAUCUGGAAGUCGCGGGCUCGAAUCCCGCCCCCGGCA